rnacentral:lncRNA from 1 species
UUUGGACUUUGGAACUACAAUAAUAAGUGAUUAAUUAAUUUUUUUGUUUCUUAAAAACAAAGUAAAGGGCGUGUUUUAGGGGCGUUUUAUUCCCUUUGAUGUUUUCGCGUUGGCUGUACAAAAGGUCUAAAGCGUGUCAUAUAACAUGCAGAGAACUUUUAGAUUCCCAAUUUUAGUCCUUAUGAAAAAUAUAGUUUUUAUUAGACACCCUCCAACUUUAUUUUUAUACUUAUAAACCCACCAAUGUAACGACGACGCUUCGUGAAAAUGAUGGUCAAUUAUUCGCGCUUCGCCUUCCUUUUUUGUCUUCUCAGAACAGAAGCAGGACGUGGCACCGUCCACCUUACGUCACUUGCUUCCUUCCGCUAAAACUAACGGCAUCACGUCGGCAGAGCACUAUAGUCAAACCGUACUGUUACUUCGGUUCUGUUAAACCGGUGAUACCCAUGCUAAUCCGACAUGAUCAAACCGAAUAAUUAAAAAAUACUUGAAAAUUGUGAUGAAAUAUUUCAAUUAUUUAUAGAGAAGGAAAAUUUAAUGCAAUUACGUAAACAUAUACUCGAAAUUAAAAUUUUGGUACGGUUUUAGGCUCCGUAACCGGUUUUACCAAUCGAAUUAUAACGGCGUUGAGUAAAACCGUCAGAAAAGACUUUGUAUUCGUCUCUUUCACACUCUCUCUCUCCCUCUUAAGGAAAGAGAAGGGAGGAAGGAACGAAGCAAAGCAAAGCCUCGCAGUGUUUACGUAUCCGUUUCACACUCUCUCUCUCCCUCUUAAGGAAAGAGAAGGGAGGAAGGAACAAAAGCAAAGCAAAGCAACGCAGUGUUUACGUAUCCGUUUUUCACUCUACAAAUCCACCGCUCUUAUGUGAAACUGUCUUCGUUUCCAAGUUCCGGGAGCAGGUUUCG